GAGGAAUUACAUMGGCUAACUCCGUGCCAGCAGCCGCGGUAAUSCUKUKGGAUGCAAGCGUUAUCCGGAAUCAUUGGGCGUAAAGCGCCUGUAGGUUGUUUAAUAAGUCUGUUGUUAAAGACUAGGGCUCAACCCUAGGAAAGCAAUGGAAACUACUAGACUUGAGUAUGAUAGGGGUAGAGGGAAUUUCUAGUGUAGCGGUGAAAUGCGUAGAUAUUAGGAAGAACACCGGUGGCGAAGGCGCUCUACUGGAUCAUUACUGACACUCAGAGGCGAAAGCUAGGGUAGCAAAAGGGAUUAGAUACCCCUGUAGUCCUAGCCGUAAACGAUGGAUACUAGAUGUUGCGUUUAUUAUGCAGUAUCGUAGCUAACGCGUUAAGUAUCCCGCCUGGGGAGUACGCUCGCAAGGGUGAAAACUCAAAGGAAUUGACGGGGGCCCGCACAAGCGGUGGAGCAUGUGGUUUAAUUCGAUGCAACGCGAAGAACCUUACCAAGGCUUGACAUACUACAAAUUUCUUUGAAAGAGGAAAGUGCCUUCGGGAAUGUAGAUACAGGUGGUGCAUGGCUGUCGUCAGCUCGUGUCGUGAGAUGUUGGGUUAAGUCCCGCAACGAGCGCAACCCUUAUUUUUAGUUGCUAAUUUAUUAGGUUUUCUAGAAAGACUGCCGGUGACAAACCGGAGGAAGGUGAGGAUGACGUCAAGUCAGCAUGCCCCUUAUGCCUUGGGCUACACACGUGCUACAAUGGUUAAGACAAAGAGUUGCGAGCUCGCGAGAGUCAGCUAAUCUCAUAAACUUAGCCUAAGUUCGGAUUGUAGGCUGCAACUCGCCUACGUGAAG
rnacentral:rRNA from 1 species